rnacentral:lncRNA from 1 species
CUUGAAUGCAUAUUUGUAUAAAUGAAUAUUAAAUUAUGGUAUACGCAAAAAAUUUAUAUAAAUAAAUAUAUCUUGAAGAGUUUUAUUUUAAAAAUAAAUGAGAAUCUAAUUGAGUUGAAUCUAUCAAUAUAGUUUUGCAUGUAUCAAUGUGAAAAUGUCAGUUUGCAUGAGGGGCAGCUCAAAUAGUGGUUGGAUGUGCAUGGAUCUUCCCUUUAACAGGAUGCUAGUUAGUGAAAGGGACCUCGGUCGUUAUCUUCUUAUAAAAGACGAAUGGUGAAAAGUAUCCGCGGAGGUCAUGUGGUGGAUGGGUCAGACCUGAAGGUGAUGGUGGCACAAGAUGGAGGCUUGGAAUGGAUCUCAAUAGUCUAGAUGCUUACCGGAUGCUUAUGCCACCGUUUGCAACUAGCAACAAAUGUUGACAGAGGUGAAUUUGAGAGUUUUUCAGUUUCUUGGUAUUCUGGUUUUCAGACGAGGAAAGCUCAAGUGUGAUUGGAAUCUAUGUUUUAAUUUCUUUUGAUGUUUUUUUUUUAAGUCCUAGGGUUUGUAUUUUAUUUGAUUAUUUUUUUUAUUUUUUAUUCUCAUUAGUAAAUUGUUUGUUUUUAUUGUCAAGUACG